UACGUAGGCAGCAAGCGUUGUUCGGAAUUACUGGGCGUAAAGAGUGUGUAGGCGGUGCUCUAAGUCUGUUGUGAAAUCUCCCGGCUUAACCGGGAGGGUGCGGCGGAAACUGGAGUGCUUGAGGGUGGGAGAGGUAAGCGGAAUUCCUGGUGUAGCGGUGAAAUGCGUAGAUAUCAGGAGGAACACCUGUGGUGUAGACAGCUUACUGGACCACUUCUGACGCUGAGACGCGAAAGCGUGGGGAGCGAACAGG
rnacentral:rRNA from 1 species